rnacentral:rRNA from 1 species
AUUGAACGCUGGCGGCAGGCCCAACACAUGCAAGUCGAGCGGGGUGAUGGUGCUUGCACUAUCACUUAGCGGCGGACGGGUGAGUACUGCUUAGGAAUCUGCUCAUUAGUGGGGGACAACAUCUCGAAAGGGAUGCUAAUACCGCAUACGUCCUACGGGAGAAAGCAGGGGAUCACUUGUGACCUUGUGCUAAUAGAUGAGCCUAAGUCGGAUGAGCUAGUUGGGGGGGUAAAGGCCUACCAAGGCGACGAUCUGUAGCGGGUCUGAGAGGAUGAUCCGCCACACUGGGACUGAGACACGGCCCAGACUCCUACGGGAGGCAGCAGUGGGGAAUAUUGGACAAUGGGGGGAACCCUGAUCCAGCCAUGCCGCGUGUGUGAAGAAGGCCUUAUGGUUGCAAAGCACUUUAAGCGAGGAGGAGGCUUACCUAGUUAAUACCUGGGAUAAGUGGACGUUACUCGCAGAAUAAGCACCGGCUAACUCUGUGCCAGCAGCCGCCGUAAGAC